UACGUAGGGUGCGAGCGUUAAUCGGAAUUACUGGGCGUAAAGCGUGCGCAGGCGGUUCGUUAAGUUCGAUGUGAAAGCCCCGGGCUCAACCUGGGAAUUGCAUUGGAAACUGGCGGGCUUGAGUGUGGCAGAGGGGGGUGGAAUUCCACGUGUAGCGGUGAAAUGCGUAGAGAUCGGGAGGAACACCAGUGGCGAAGGCGGCUACCUGGACCAGCACUGACACUGAGGCACGAAAGCGUGGGGAGCAAACAGG
rnacentral:rRNA from 1 species